UAGGAUUCUUGGAAGUUUUGCACUCUCAUGCUCUCCUUCAAUGAUCUAUUAUAUAGAUGAUAAGUUAUUUGGAAGAAACCAAAAAUUCGUACAGGUGAUUUCGGAAUAUGAUUACCGAUAUUGACUCGAAUAUUAAUAAAACCGCUUCCGGUGUUUUCUUCCUCGCACUUGUCUGCCACGUCGAAUUUACAACUAAAUUUAUUGAAAUGCCUGAGAAACUGACGUCCGUUUUGUCGAAAUUCUAUGAUGAAUACGUUAACAACACACCAAAGCGUUUGAAACUUGUAGAUGCAUAUUUAUUGUACAUAGUAUUGACAGGUGUUUUCCAGUUUAUUUACUGUGCACUUGUUGGAACAUUCCCUUUCAACUCCUUUUUGUCAGGAUUCAUCUCCAGUGUAGGAUCAUUUGUUCUUGCAGUAUGUUUGAGACUGCAAGUGAAUGCACAGAAUAAAAAUGAAUUCACAGGAAUAAGUCCAGAAAGAGCCUUUGCAGAU